rnacentral:rRNA from 1 species
GACGAACGCUGGCGGCGUGCUUAACACAUGCAAGUCGUACGGUAAGGCCCUUUCGGGGGUACACGAGUGGCGAACGGGUGAGUAACACGUGAGUAACCUGCCUACAACUUUGGGAUAACGCUAGGAAACUGGUGCUAAUACUGGAUAUGUGCUCCUGCUGCAUGGUGGGGGUUGGGAAGCUCCGGCGGUUGUGGAUGGACUCGCGGCCUAUCAGCUUGUUGGUGGGGUAGUGGCCUACCAAGGCGGCGACGGGUAGCCGGCCUGAGAGGGUGACCGGCCACAUUGGGACUGAGAUACGGCCCAGACUCCUACGGGAGGCAGCAGUGGGGAAUAUUGCACAAUGGGCGCAAGCCUGAUGCAGCAACGCCGCGUGCGGGAUGACGGCCUUCGGGUUGUAAACCGCUUUCAGCAGGGACGAAGCUUUUUGUGACGGUACCUGCAGAAGAAGCACCGGCUAACUACGUG